CCUACGGGUGGCUGCAGUGGGGAAUAUUGGACAAUGGGCGAAAGCCUGAUCCAGCCAUGCCGCGUGUGUGAAGAAGGCCUUCGGGUUGUAAAGCACUUUCAGUGGGGAAGAAAGCCUUGGGGCUAAUACCCUCGAGGAAGGACAUCACCCACAGAAGAAGCACCGGCUAACCCCGUGCCAGCAGCCGCGGUAAUACGGAGGGUGCGAGCGUUAAUCGGAAUUACUGGGCGUAAAGCGCGCGUAGGCGGUCUGAUAAGCCGGUUGUGAAAGCCCCGGGCUCAACCUGGGAACGGCAUCCGGAACUGUCAGGCUAGAGUGCAGGAGAGGAAGGUAGAAUUCCCGGUGUAGCGGUGAAAUGCGUAGAGAUCGGGAGGAAUACCAGUGGCGAAGGCGGCCUUCUGGACUGACACUGACGCUGAGGUGCGAAAGCGUGGGUAGCAAACAGGAUUAGCUACCCCAGUAGUC
rnacentral:rRNA from 1 species